GCAAGGCCGUGCCGUCCCUUGACCUCCGCUGUCCUACGUGAGGUCAGUGCAGUGUGAAGCAGCGAAGAUAAACAAACAUCAGCCUGCUUCGCUUUGUGUAGCAAGCUGCUCAUUCCUCACAUUUUCUGUCAAAAUGAUUGUUGACAGCGACUAGGAAGGAAAUCUUAUGCCUUAAGAUUAACUAGGCAGAAUAUUAGAAAGAUAUGCUACACAAGAAUGAGAAUUUGUACACCAGUGGAGUGAGCAAGGGAGUUACCUGCUGAUGGACACUACCCAGAGUUAGUGUGAGCUGGCAGCUAUUAUGACAAAUGCUGCUAGUGACAUUCAUUAGGACAGUUUGCUGUGGCCGGCGCACUCGUCAGGAAGAAUGAAGACAGCAGUAGUUAGCAUGGAUCGCAAGACAAGACCUGCAACCAAUAAUUUACCCCCAGUUCAGGCAUCUUACCUGCCCAUGGCCACACAAUUCAGGGAUUUGACCAGCUCUGCUUAUAGUAUAGGCUCUGGGGGGGGUGUCUGUGUACAUUUCUCUUUUACAGCUAAACCAUGCAUUUUCCUCUUCCAUAUGAUGAGGACUUUCAAAAAAGGUUGGGUAGAACUUUCGCACCUGGUACGUUUUCUCUGCAGAGCUCAGUAUGCAAUUAUAC